GUCCUGGCAGUAAACGGUGCACGUUUGGUGUGGGAGGAUUCGACCCCUUCUGCGCAGGAGCUAACGCGUUAAACGUGCCGCCUGGGGAGUACGGUCGCAAGAUUAAAACUCAAAGAAAUUGACGGGGGCCCGCACAAGCGGUGGAGUAUGUGGCUCAAUUCGAUGCAACGCGAAGAACCUUACCAGGCCUUGACAUGCAUCUCUAAGUUGGUGAAAGCCAGCGAGUCCCGAAAGGGACAAUUUGCACAGGUGCUGCAUGGCUGUCGU
rnacentral:rRNA from 1 species